UUGCAAGUAUCCUCCCCCCCCCCUGUCUUCAUUUCGCUACAUUUUCUGUUGGAUUUUGCUAGUCUGGCUGAGUGUUCUGUAGUUCCCGCAUGUAGCGGUGGAUCCUAGAUGUUUGGAUGUUUUGUGGUAUUUUUGUUGCAAAUGUAUGGUCCGAUGUAGAUGUAGCGGUGGAACCCUCCUGUCUAUUUGAUAGUCCCUAGAUGUGUACAGUCCUUAGAUGUAUGGAUGCAAAUGCUGAGUCUAGUACCUAGAUGUCUGGACUGUAAAUUGAUAUGAUCCUUUUGGCGUCUGCUAGUUUGGUAGGUUGAUUUUGGUAUGGCCUGCAUUUGGAUGUAGAUGUACAGCCCCUAGAUGUAUGGAUGCAAAUGCUGAAUCACCUUGUCAGUUGAGUCUCAUAGUGUGUUUUUUGGUGGACUGAAUGUUUUGAAUUCAGUAAUAGUGGUUUGGCUGUAAAUUGCAGUGUAAUUUUGAGUGGAUUUUCAGCUUAAUUGCAGUGUACUCCAGUGUAAAAACUCAAAGCCUUUGAGUUCAGUGAAUUUUUCAGCUUAAUUUUAUAGUGAUUUUUGUACUGUAGUUCAGUCUAUAUUAGUCUAUCUUACACUGUAAUUUUUAGUGCUUUCUUCCUUUUUUUUAAGCUCAGUAAUGUGGAACUUACAGUGAUUUACUAUGUUUUCUAUACUAUUCUAGCAUAAUUUUUUUAACUGAAUGUCUGUUUACUUGCAGUCUAAAUUAAUGCGCAUUCAAUCCUGUAAUGUGUAAUCCUCCUGAUCAGUUGAGUCUCAUGUUGUUUAGUUGGCGGACUGUUUUUUUUCAAUGGCGAGAUUGCGGAAAGCUUACAGGCAGGAACCCCAUGCCAUUUCUCCCUGGAAUCCAGAAUAAUUUUCCUGCUAGAUGCUGAGAAGUAGGAGAGGGGGCUGUUUCUAGGGAGAAGUGCUUAGUGAAAUGCAGGGUUGGAAACCUGGGACCCGUUUAGUUAUUGUGGGACAAGGACAACGACAUUCAGAGGACAGGAAGGAACAGAGGACAGAUGACAUUUGUCAAAUUCUGGAUGGCCAAAAAAUAUGACUGAAAGCGAAUUGAAUUUAAGUCAAAUGUAAAACAGACAGUCCCUAUAAAAAACUACAAGAUCAAUGCUCAUAUUCAUAAAA